AACACUGAGGCAUAGAGAUUAUACCAGCUGGGCUAGCGAGUGACCGGGGGAAGCCUCCAGAUCCAUGCACACAACCGCCAGGUUUAUGACACCUCUAGAAAUGUGGCCAGUGCCCCUGGGGUCUAUCAGCAACUCUUGCUAGACCAGCAGAGCCCUAAAAAAGAAGACAACAGUCUCCCAGCAAAAUGUUGCAAGCAGCACAGGCUCAGGAAUGGACAGACUGGCAGGCAAGAUACAGCAAGAAGGCAGCAGUCUGCACACCAGGAGGAGAGUCCUCACCAGAACCCAGCCCUGCCACACCCUGAUCCUGGACUUUCAGCCUCCAGAGCUGUGAGAAAUAAAUGCCUGUUGUUUCAGCA
rnacentral:antisense_RNA from 1 species